rnacentral:lncRNA from 10 species
AGUUACAGAAAGAACCCACUGCAGGGCGUCCAGUCACUUGCCCAGUGAAAAGACUGUAAUCAGACAACUUUAAUAAAGGGAGAGCAGGAGAGUGGUGACGAAUUUCCACAUUCCGAACAAGCUUGUCGAAAGAGGAGUGCAGGGAAGGAGCAAGAAUGAGGCACUGGAAGACGGCUGUAGGCGCAUGAUGUCACAAGUUAUUGGAAGAAAUCCCUCCAACCUAGGUUGGGACAGAUGAAGGCGGCGCUUAUUGGUGUUCACCAAAACACCAGCAUGGUGUACCAGCUUUGGCUAGAUGAUGCUCAGAACACCAGAGACUGGGUAAUUAAUAAAAAGAAGAAAUUGAUCUGGCCUACAGUUCUGGAGCCUUGGAAGUCCGAGAUCAAGGAGCUGCAUCUGAUAAAUACCUGGAGUGGGAUUGCUAGAUCACAUGGAAAACACAGAUCCUGGUGCCGAACAUGAGGACAGGGCAGGCCGAAGGAGAAAGUGGAAGGAGGGGAGCUUCUCUCUCAGCCUCAUCCUUCUGGGCCUGGAUGCUGGAGAGUCAUGAGGUGCUUCAGAGUACUCUGGGUGAGGAGGGAAAGAUGGUGCCCACCACAUGGAGGCCAGCCUAGGUCUUGUAUGAAACCUGUGAGUUUUAUAGAUUGAGAGGAACUACGCUCAAGGAGCCUCAUGCAUACCUGGACCUGAUUUAAAUGAUGAGAUGCUGGACUUCAAGCAGAUGCUGUAAUGAUAUGAGGUUCUCAGGGACCUUGGGAAAUAGUAAAUGUAUUUUGUGUGUGAGAGGGACACAAAUCAUUGGAGGCCAAAAGGGUGAACUGAGGACAGAUGCUAGGGUAGCUCCCACAAUCCCCACCUCCUGGUUUCACCCUUGUGGGAUCUCGCCAUGAGUGUGGAUGGAACCUGUGAUUUGCUUCUAACUAGUAGAAUUUGGCAAAAAAUGAUGAGAUAUAUGUGAUUAUGUUUACAUGAUUAUAUUAUAUAAGAUUCUGAGUACAUUGAGCUGCAUAGAGAGAGCACGGGGGCAAGUGAGAGCCAGGUGGGUACUGGAAAGCUCUGUGCCUCACUGAGGAAAAAUAACUAAACAUGGGCAAAAGAGAUCCAUGGAACCUGAGAGGCAAGGUGUUAUUAUAU